rnacentral:lncRNA from 1 species
AUUCGGGCUGACAGCGGCAUUUAUGAGAGCAAAUGUCUGUCCCUGCGCAAUUUCUGUGGGGAUAGUUGCAGUCAGGUCUACAGGAUUUGCUUAAAAAUUUCCAAGACCUGGGUGUGUCUGACAGCCUGGACCUCAACCUCAAAAAGGAACUAGCUCCUCUCUGAUUUCCUUGGGACACCUGGGAGCAAGCACAGGAGCCCAUGGAGCCACGGAGAGUGUCACUUCAAGCGCCUCCUGGGAGCUCUUGCAGAUGCCAAGUGCUCUGCCCUUCCCCAUUACCUGUGAUUUCAAGUGGGCUUAGAGAUUCUCCAAGAUGUGAGAUGAAAGGCCAAGAAACUAAUUCCUCUGACUUCUUCAGAGAACCGCACAGUCUCUUGAGGAGUUAACCAGAAGAGUGACGGUUGUGCAUGGACGGCCCUGGUUCACAGUCCAGCUCUGCCAUCCCUAGCAUGAUACCUGGAUGAAGCCCUGUGGAUUCUACCUCUGGAUCAUCUCAUCCAAAAUGCCACCCGUCAGUUUCCACUGGUCCUCCUUGGUUCAAGGCGUCCUCAUCUUCACCCUCCACUGAAGCAACAACUCCUCACGGAUCUUCCUGCUUCCAAUCUUGCCUUUCUCUUUUCUCUCUUACCCAAACCCAUAGGCAUGUCCUCUUCAGAUCAUGAAUAAUAUUCCUAAAACACAAACAGGAUCAGAUUCCCCCCUUGUAAAAUUCCUUCAGUGGAUGUCUUCUAACUUCAAGGGAAAGGCUAGGACCCUUGGAUCUUCCAAAUCCAGACCAGGCUGACUGCUCUAGCCUUCUUCCAACAUCCACGACACCCAUUUUGCACCCAAUGCUCUAGGCACUGGGAGCUACUCACAGUUCCCCUGACCUGACAAACUGUUCAGACAUCCACACAUUUCCUAGUGCUGUCUGCACCUGCAUAAAUUGCCCUCUGCUUUCCUCAUGUCCCCUCUACUGUUAAAACCUGCUCAUCUCUUAUUACUCAGCUCCACUGUUCUCUUCUCGCUCUACAGAAAAGGUUCCAGGCUCCAGUUAUGACUCUCCUCUAUGUCCCAAUCAGAACACAUUCGGUUCCCAUUAGAGUCUCUAGGACAAUCUAAUCUUGCAUUACCUUUUCCUCUAUAGGACCACAGCUUGUUGAAGAAAAUGAACAGUCUCCCUGGUACCAUUUGUUUUUGUAUCCCCAGCAUCUAUGGCAUUGAGUACAUAGAAUCCUUGGGAUGACCAGCAAUUGAGCUGUGGGCAGAACAAGAACAAUCAGCAAAGGAGACUGAGAAGCACCAGCCAGAGAAGCAGGAGGAGAACCGGUAGAGAGACAGCUACUGCAGCCACCAAAGGGAGAAAUGUAGGCAUCUGGUUGGGUUGGGCUAGAUUUUUUAGGUCUGCAUGAGGCCUCAGGAUGACCCUGUGAGAGCACCCCAAGUCACCCAGGAGAGCCAGCAGAGCAUCUGUGUAUGACAUAUGACCCCCCUACCACCACCCUUGACUGUUCAAACUGGAGAAGGGCUGAAAACACGUGGGCAGCCAAGCACCUUUUAUGGGUUUCUGGAAGGUCAUCUCAGCCACAGCAUCAAGUACACCACGUGAUGCUCACUCACAGUAUGAGCCCCCAUGAGGAAAGCAAUGACCCCAACACUGAGAGCAUGGUAGGGUCCCAUCUGCUCCCACAUGGCAGACAGGCCCCGAGGAAUGAGCAUGACUGGGUCUGCCAACCAGAUGCAGAUGCAGGGUGGUAUGGUUGAAUCAGGCAGAUGGCUGUAGGAUCAAUUCUCCAUCUCACCAUUUUUUUGUUGGGUAAUUCUGAUUAAGUUAGUGAACUUCCUUAGCUUGCUUUGUACCAUGGAGACAAAACAUCCACCUCACACAAUUGCUAGAGCAUGCAGGCGAGGAAGGACUUGACAUCUAUUGUAGCUGAUAAUAAAGACACACUAGUGCUCUCUUCUUGUGCAUGUUCUUAGUCUUACAGAUGUAUGCUGAUUUUGAAUAUAAAACCUAUAUAGUUGAUGUUUACUUUUUGGAUAUCAUAAUGACCCUAGAGCCCACAGGAUAUAUGAUAUGAACAUUCAUUCCUUCAGCUAAUAUUUAUUGAGCAUCUGUGCUAAGUACUGGGAAGGCAAUAGUGAUUAUCCAAAGGUCACAUUUUCCUGUGUGUUGAAGGUGCUUCAUUGAGGAAGACAAAUGUGUGAGCUUCUAGGCAGGAGAAGUGACAUUCACAAAGACACAUACUGUGUAUAAUUGGAGGGUUAGAAGAUGGCAGAGAUGAGAGAUAGCAGGGAAGUUGCACAAGGGCCGGGGAAUGGACCACAGAGAGUGUUGAAUGCCACCCUCAAGAUAGCAGCCCCUGUGGGCCAUGGGCAGGACAGUGACAACUGACUGCUUCCCUUCCCUCUCUUUUUUUCUUUUUUUGUCUACUUUUAGUGUUUAAAAUUUCAAUUAAUUAAUGAAUCAAAGUUGGCAACAAAAGAUUUUGCUACAUUUGCCUGUCCCGAUUCUUGACAAUUCUCUCUGAGGAGGAGCACUGGGAUACUCGUACUGUCUGGCAUCUAUUAGGUAUUGUUUAAUAUCUGUUCAAAUGAACAAAAUGUACUUGUAUUGAGUUGAACCAAAGUGAAGCCCUUUGGGACAACUUUGGAGCAAUAGUGGAUUAUAUUAUUCUGGAUGACUUAUGAAAAAUAUUUACCCUUAAUCAGUCUUAGAUGAACUGAAAAUUAUUCAUAUUCAGUUCAGUUAAUGGUGGUUAUUUAGCUAAGUCUUGAUUACGUAUAACGGACAGGAGCUAGUCAACAGAUAACGACGUGGCCCUGGGUUCCCUCUGCCCUGGCCUGAACAUCCUUUUUAUGAAAGGACACUUUCCUGUUUGUACAGCAGCCAAAGACUCACAUGUGAAUUCUUUAUACACACUGCAAGCAAUCCAAGCAUCUGACUUCCAUUCUUCACUCACAGCUGGGAGCAAGUGCGAGAAAUCAGUGGAAAGCUGGAGGUUUGUUAACAGGGGGUUUAUUUUGGCACUCAGUUGCAAUUAAAUCCGGUGGGUUAAAAGCUUCUGAAUGUAUUACCCUCUUUUAAACAAGCCACUUUUAGAGUGUUUCCACAAUGAACAAUAUUCAUCACCAAUGUUAUAUAUGGCUGACUUUCACUCUCAAAUAAUACCUUCUUUCCUUGGAAGGAAAAACAACUUUCCCAUCCUUAUAAUUGAAUCCAAACAUCUGUCACCCACAAAGACAUGGUUUUAGAGGUUGAUUAAUGGAUAUCUGGCUCACGGAGUACACAGAACCACACUCAUUUGCAACAAAUUUACACCAACACCCACACACGCUUAGGCACAUACACCAAUACGCAUGCCCCAAAUGCGUUCCUCCAAAAAACAUGUUUCCAUUAUCAUUUCUUUUAAUACAAUUAAGACAACAAUAAAGAAAGAGAUGUAGGCAGAAUAGUAAAAAAGCAAUGACUAGGAGUCCAGAGACCUCAGGUCUGAUCAUGACCUUUGACGAGUAACAUAAUCUCUCCAGCUCUCAAUUUCCACACAUGAAAAAUAUGAAUGAUGAAACCACCUCCAUCAUUUAACGCUUAUAACCCACCCACGACCUGACAUGUUCAUGCAUUUGUGCCUUCGUGUGAGAGUUCCUCUGCCAACUGUGUUCCACGAGACCUUCAUCAUCUUUCAGAACUCAACAGAUAUACCACCUCCCCAAAGAAUCCCUCCCUGGUUCCCCCAAGCAGAAUCAGCAGCUCAUUCUCAAUCAUUCCAGAAACCUUGCAUGCAAUCAGUUUUGUUGCAGCUUUCAUUGCAUAGUACAGCAACCACCUCACCUAAACUAUUAACCCACAGAGAACAGAGCAGGUCUGAUUGUUUUCGUUUCCCUGGUGGAGAGAAAAGGAAUAGCACAUGAAGUUCUAAUAAAAAGUUGAAGGGAAAAAACAAUUGAAUGAGUCAUUACUUGAAUGACACAAUAUCCUCAUAUGGCAUAAGAAAAGCUCCCACCUGGCCUGCAGUCUCUUCCCCUCUGCAACACUGAGAUCUCGGUCUUGCUGAAAUCUGGUACUAGUCCCAUCAUGUUCUUGGCCCAUCACCUUCAGGAUACAGUCCAGAUUCCUCAUCAAGGCAACCUGUUUCUCUGUCUUCAUGACUGAGUUGCCACCUCUCCUGCUGCUCUCCUCCCAUCCCCCACCACCUGCUAUGUUCUAGGAUACUCAGCCAAGGUUCCUGACACACCAUGCUCUGUCUUACCUCUGGGUCUAUCCCUCUCUCCUACAAUCCCAUCCACCUUCCUCACUUAGCCAAUCCCUACCUGUCUCCCAGACUUACCUAAGAUGAUUUUUCCUCCAGGAAGCCUUCCAGGGUCCCAGAAUCCUCUUAUUCUCUGCCUGCCAGAAUGCCAUGGUUGUCUCUAAUAGGACCAUCUGUUUGAGGGUCUGUGGGCUCCUUGAAGACAGAAACUGGGAACUGCUCACCUCUAUCCCCUGCCCCAUGCCUGAUGCUGACUGGCCACUCAGUAAGCAUGUCUUGCUGUGAGUGGGUGGGCAGAUGAAUGAAGAGUCCAAGGUGAUCAGAAGAGGGUCAGAUUCUAUAGGGCAACUCUAAAGCAUGUGCAUGUCACACCACCAGCUGAGGGUUUCCUUCUUGCCCUUUGAGGAAGGUUAUUUUCUUCUAGACCUUAACCAGCUUCUGAGAAAAGCAUUCUUAAAAUCUCCCAUUGUAGCUAUUAGUUUUUCAAAUUCUCCUUGUAAUUCAUUGUAUGUGUCUGUGCACAUAUGCCUAUAUUUAUAUGGUUAUGUGUGCACAGACACAUACACAUAGUCACAUAUAUAUGUAUGUACUUAUAAGUACACAUUCAGUAAAUACACAUCGAAGCUGUGUUGCUAGGUGUCUGCAAGUUUUUGAUUAUCUUAACUCUGCAGUAGAGCCAGACUUUGCUUAGAUUAUUUCUUUUUAUCCCCUCCCCUCCCUCAGCACACACACUUUUAUUUUCAAACUUUGUGUUUAGUUUUAUUUGGUUAACUCUUUUGUAGGCAGCUUAUACUAAAAUUUUAAAAAUUGAAUUUGAUUGUGUUUUCUAGUGAGAUAAUGUAAUUCAUUUAGGUUUACUAUUAUUUCUGCUUUUUAAUGUGUUCCAUUUCUUGUGCUUUUUUCUUUUUUUGCUGCCUUUUUCUACUUUCUUUUCUUCCUUCUGCUGGAUUAAUAAUGCUAGAUGUCUUCCUUUUUCCUAUUAUUUGCUUUGGAAGUUGGAGAUUCUAUUACAAUUGGGUGGAAUGGAUUGUCCUCUAGGAUUUUCACUUUACAAAAUCACAUUUAUAUUUUCAAGCAGUAUCCAAAAUUAUUCAGUAUAUCUGUCUUCAUUCCAAAUAUGACACUGCUGUUAGCAUGCUUCAAAUGCCCUUCACACACCCCUGCUCCAUUAUCUGUGUUAUUGCUCUAUAACUUUAGUUCCAUAUUUAUUUUUUCUAUCAAGAAUUCAUUGCAUCUACCAACAUAGUUUACCAAUUUCUUUAAUCAUCAUUUCUUCUUUUAUUCUACUCCUCUGAAUUUAGUUUCCUUCUUGCUAAAAUUUAUCUUUUAAUAGUUCUUUCAGUGGAAGUAUAAACUCUCUUAUUCUUGUAUGUCUGAAAAUGCCCUUAAUUCAGAUACUCUGGAAUGACAGUUAACUGGGUGCAGAAUUUAGACUCACAGCUCCUUUGAAGAUGACUUUCCAUUUUCUCCUCACCCCUAUUGUGGCUGAUUGGAAGUCUGCUGUCAGUCUGGGUAUAAUUCUUUUCUAGAAGUCUUAGUCUGUUUAGGCUACUAUAACAAAAUCUUACAGGCUGGGUGGCUUAUAAACAACAGAAAUUUAUUUCUCACAGCUAUGGAGGCUGUGAAGUCCAAGAUCAAGGCUAUGGCAGAUUCAGUGUCUAGUAAAAGCCUGUUUCCAGGUUCAUAGAUGGCACCUUCUCACUGUGUUCUCAUGUAGUGUGUCAAGGAAUCUUUUUGGGGUUUACUUUAUAAAAGCAUUAUGGGCUGGGCAUGGUGACUCAUACCUAUAAUCUCAGCAUUUUGGGAGGCUGAGGCAGGCAGAUUACGUGUGGUCAGGAGUUUGAGACCAGCCUGGGUGACACGGUGAAACCCCAUCUCUACUACAAACAUAAAAAUUAGCCAGGCAUGGUGGCACUCACCUGUAAUCCCAGCUACUCAGGAGGCUGAGGCAUGAGAAUAACUUGAGCCUGGAAGGCAAAGGUUGCAGUGAGCCAAGAUCGUAUCACCAGUUGCCAUGAAGUGAAGUGUGUGAUUAACCUUGUAUACAAGGUCCCUCACUUGUUUUAUCUAUGUGUUUAUUUUAUUUUACCAUGAUUUAUUUAUCUCCCCUCUCCCACAGAAGAACCACUCCUGUGUAUUUAAUGUGUAUUAUUUUGUUCAUAUGUGAUAUUAAAACAUGUAUUGUUUUCUGAACAUGUAUUUUUAAUUUAUGGAAACAAUCAUAUGUUAUAUAUGUCACACUGUAUUUUGUAAGAGCCACACAUAUUGUUGUGUGCACAUCAAGUUCAUUACUUCCAAUUGCUGCAUAUUAAUGCUUGGUGUACUCCAACCAAGUGUUACCAAUUCAUUUCCCAGUGAUAGCAGCCAAUCUUCUCUAUCUCCUUGACACUACAGAUAAAUCCCACUUGUAUUUGUCCUCUUACUGGAUGGUGAACAUUUCUUUGAGAUAUCCCUAUUCCUACUUCUAUACAGAUAUCUAUCUAUCCAUCUCUCUCUCUCUGUCUCUGUCUCUGUCUCUCUCUCUGUAUCCAUCUAUGUCAUCUACCUAUCUCCAGGAACAUACCUAAAUUAACUAGUGCAAGAUUGCCUUUCAGAAUACUAAUAGCUUUUACUUCCACUAGCUAUGUGUGAGGUUCCUAUAUCCUUAUAUCCUAAUGAACAUUUGAUCCUAAUCAACAUUUGGCUUUAUCCAAUUUUUUUAAUAGUCUUUGCUUGCUAUAUAUCUCUGUGUGGAAUUAUGCAUAAAUUUUCCAAUGUUAUUUUCCAUUUUAUUAAUUGUGUCUUUUACUGUGUCCAGUUUAUUUUCAUCUCAUCUACUGAAC